ensembl:lncRNA
CGUCACCAGACUAUUUGCCUAAUCUUCACUGUACUUCAGACCGCGGUGGAAACACAGAAAGCAACAGGUUGCGAGCAGGAACAGCAACAACACAUGUGAUGGUCUAACUCUCUGUCCGUCUAUAUCACCGGUAAGUAUAAUAAUACUGACACCUAGUGGUUAGUUUCUAUAUAUACAACUAUCACUACAUCCCCUCUCCAUUAGACAUAAAGAACAAGUUAUUACAACUAAUGACUUCUAGAUUAUCUAACCACUAAGUAAGCACUGUACACAUUAUACAGGAUGUAUAAUAUCAAAUAACAAUCUCCAGAAUUAUUUGCUUUACCAUCAAAGUAACAAUAAUCAACUGAUUACAUUUUCUUUUAUCUUUUCAUUUAUGAACAUUCUAAUGCUUCUGAUCUGUUUAAGCAAUAUUCAGAGGUUCAGUCUAUCAGGAGGCUUUACUGUGCGAUUGGAUCUUCUCAGCACAGCAGACUUCUCCGGUUUCUCCUCAGGAUCUGACCAUCUUCUGUCCUGACAGUGUAAGACCUUGGCUUCACCUCCUCCAGGACUGUGGCUUUUUUAGUCCAGGUUGCGAGCAGGAACAGCAACAACACAUGUGAUGGUCUAACUCUCUGUCCGUCUAUAUCACCGUGCAUAAUAUCAUCCAAAGGGUCAAAGAAUCGGGAACAAUCUCUGUGCGUACGGGUCAAGGGCGGAAAACCAUACUGGAUGCCCGUGAUCUUCGGGCCCUUAGACGGCACUGCCUCACAUACAGGAAUGCUACUGUAAUGGAAAUCACAACAUGGGCUCAGGAACACUUCCAGAAAACAUUGUUGGUGAACACAAUCCACCGUGCCAUUCGCCGUUGCGGUCUAAAACUCUAUAGGUCAAAAAAGAAGCCACAUCGCCGGGCUACCUAGCAUAGAGUAGGUGCUCUCGUUUUCUAGCUCCCACUAACCUUUUCUGAAUAUCCUGUUUAAACCCUACUUUCAUCGUUUAGCUGUGAAUAUAUUGCCGAUAACACCAACACUGCGUUCGGAAUUAUACCCAGAUCCACGAAAAAUGCAAAGAGUGCAGAGUCAGAGACGUCCUCGGACAGCGUUAGCAGUGAUGCUAAUGUUAGCUUUUCGGCUACAUCCAUUUCGGCGGAGCUCCAGCAGCACAGAGCCGCCGAGUUUAGGUCAUCGUUCGCCAGCAUGGACACCAAGAUAGACAAGAUCCAGGCUGCUGUCUCGGGACAGGGACAACGUAUUACCGAUCUCGAGUCGAAUUAGGAAGCUAUCUGCGGACGCCUGGAGCAACUUGAAGCUAUGUGCUCUUUACUGCAAGAAGAUAACAAUUCGCUGAAGUCUAAACUGUCGGGUUUGGAAGGAGAAGUAACGUUAGGGGACAGAACGUGCGUAUUGUGGGUCUACCAGAGUUAGUCGGCUUUUCUCCCAACUUCUCGUUGAGGUUUUUGGUGAUCAAGUUCUCCCCCGGAGCUGGACAGACCUCAUCGCACUUGGGCACCCAAACCUGUCCCGCGCGAGAGACCGCGUCCCUUCAUCAUCAGCACCAGAUUAAAGACUUGAUCAGGAGGGAGGCUCGGAAACAGGGCGAGCUGGAGCACCAUGGCCACAAGCUUCGGUUCAGUGAAGAUCACAGCGCGGAAGUUUUGAAGCAGCGGGCUGAACACAAGGGGGUCCUCCUGGCUCCGACCCUCGCUCCUCGUCCCUGAGAAGCUGCGCAUCACUCUCCAGACCGGCGAGAGGAUGCGGUCGCGGUCCAUCUCUGAGGCUCUUUGGGUGUGAGUCCGUAGUAAAUUCGAUCGCCUGUGUGAGCAUACCACUGUUCUGUUCAUAUUCCCAGACUCAUGUUACUUAACUAUUUGACGGACCGCUAAAACUUCUCUCCUUUAUAAGAAGAAAAUAAAAAAUAAGAAAAUCAGCUGGAUCACGCUCCUCUGCUCCUUCAAGUGGCUUUCUCUGAUGCUGAGUGUAUAAGAAGACAGUGGAGACUGGAUCCAUUGUUUCUCUCAGAUGAGAGUUUUCUUACCCACAUCUCCAGCAUAUUAAAACUUUUUUGAGUAUAAAUAAAACAUCGGAUGUGUCCAAUGCAACGAUUUGGGAACAUAUGAAAGCCUAUUUGAGGGGUGAAAUUAUAUCAUU